GCUCAAGUAGUUUAUUUAAAAUACUAAUAUGUGGAGUUAGUGAUACUUAUAGGUCGUGGGCA
rnacentral:tRNA from 1 species